rnacentral:rRNA from 1 species
UCGAAGGUAGCAUAAUCAGUAGUCUUUUAAUUGAAGGCUGGUAUGAAUGGUUGGACGAGAAAUUAACUGUUUCAUAAAAAUUUAUUAUAGAAUUUUAUUUUUUAGUCAAAAAGCUAAAAUUUAUUUAAAAGACGAGAAGACCCUAUAAAUCUUUAUAUAAAUUUUAUUAUAAUUUUAUAGAUUUUUUUUGUUAUAAUAAAUUAUUAUAUUUUAUUGGGGUGAUAUUAAAAUUUAAUAAACUUUUAAUUUUUUAUAGUCAUUAAUAUAUGAAUAAAUGAUCCGUUAAUAACGAUUAAAAAAUUAAGUUACUUUAGGGAUAACAGCGUAAUUUUUUUGGAGAGUUCAUAUCGAUAAAAAAGAUUGCGACCUCGAUGUUGGAUUAA